AUGGCUGCCAGCUUGGCCCAAGGAGAACCAUAUACGUCACCUGCCUCCAGAUCAGCCAAUAGCAACAUUCCAUUGCAAUAGCUGGGUUUCAACCAGUAGAGGGCAGUGGCUAUGCAUAUUUAUAAACACACUAUGUAGAAUUCAAAUACUUUGCACUAAAAUGUCAAGAUUUGGACCUGAAUCUAUCAACAACACUACUAAAUACCCAUAUACACUGGUUUUCAGCUGAAAAAAGUGGUUUGGGGGUUUAAUCACUCAUACAAUCCUGUUAUCAGGAGCAGGCCAUACAAUAGUCAACAUACCUGUAGCUCGAAUUGUGUCAUUCUUGAAAAGUUAGCAAUAUAGCUUGAUUGUUAUGUUGACAACACAAAAGCUGUUAGCUGUCGGUUUUAAUUUCAGGUGGAGGAAGCCACUGAGACAACAAUUCAAGGUCUCACAGAGGAGAUCUUGAAUGGUGGGUACACAGGAUCAAUCACUUUGGAGAAAAAGGAUGAAAUAAUCCGGCUGAUGCAGAUUUCGUCAUCUCUGUGUGCCAAGCACAAUUCAGCGAGAGAGGCACAAACAAGGAACAGGUGGAAAUGACUGAAUCAUCUGCAGGAUUUCAUCCAGGAACUGGAGCAAGAUGAAACUGAAUCAGGGAUGGAGAAAGCUGCACUUCCCUCAUUGUCUCCAAAAUCAUUUCUGCAGUGGAUUACAGGGCAAGGCCAUGUUCCAGUCCUGCAAGAAGACAAGAGAUGUUUCAAAGUGAAUGUAAAGUUCAAUCAUCACUGCCAGUCAGAUUUUGGGGAACACAGGAUAUGCUAUCCAUCUGUGGCAGCUUGCACUAGCACCAUCACCUUCUCUGUUCAACAUAUGAGAUCAUAGAUCAUAGAUCACAUAGAUCAGAGAUCACUUUAAAGUAAUUCUGGUAGAGGAAUUCCACCUGGGACAAGAAUUCUCAAGGGUGUAGAUUAAUAAGUUGUUCAUACAACUGUUGUGGCUGGUUUGGUAGGGAAUGUAAAUGUACAACCUUGUUUAUCCGUCAAUGUGUUUUCAUUUCAGUAGUUCAAGUUUAAUGAAAUGUAAUGUUCAAUUGUCAUUCACUGUAUGACAAAUAGUUGAAAAAGUUUUAAGGAGAAACACUGCCACAGAUGG